rnacentral:lncRNA from 1 species
UCAUAAAAAUUUUGGCAAAAAUAAUGAUUUCCCUCCACGUGCUCUCUUUCCCCCAAUUUUCAAAUAAGCUUUUCCCCUACAUAUUAUUUACUUAAAAAAACAAGACUAUACUCAGCCCUAAAUUUAAUUCCCAAGGGUUUCUACUUCAUCCCUUCAGUUCAACAAGAGAACAAUUGGAUUAUAGGUGGUUUGGUAGAAGAAAUUGUUGGGGGUUUUGUUUUUUUGGGAAUGGAGAGAAAAUAAGUCAUCGGUGCUAAGGAAGAAGUGGUUUCAUAUUGUUGGAUUAUAGGUGGUUUGGUAGAAGAAAUUUUUGGGGUUAUCGUCGGGGAGGUCAGAGCGAAGAGUUCGGUCAUCCUUAACGAGUUUGAUUUGGAGGAAAUAGAAUAGCAGUAGCCAUCUUGUUUCAUCAACUCCGACUCAAGUAGGGUUUCAAUAGUUCUCAAAUUUUAUUUGGAGAAUUUGAACAUCGAGUAGGAUUUCUACCAAAAUUUUAACAUAUUUUGUUAGAUUUAUGUAUGAAUUGUUCAGUAAUCUCUAUUUAUAUUUUUUUUUCAACUUUGUAGAACUAAGGCUUAAAUUCAACCAAAAGAGUCAAUUCUAGUUCUACCCAUUUCCAUGCCUAGUUGAGUUUGUAUUUUGCUUCCUAUGACCACUGCUAUAGGAGCUCUGUGGUUUUGUCUUUCAGUGGUUUGACUUCUUCUUCCUUUUUCAAAUUUUUGGAAUAAUUAGUAUAAUUUGUGUAAAAUAACGAAAGAAAGUUAGGAAAUUAAACUGUCGCUGGUUGUGAAAUUGUUGAUAUAGAUGGACAACCGUAUCUAUAAAUAGAUUGGCUACCCAAGUGAACUACAAAUCAUCUUAUUACUACAUUUAGUUAAGUGGUAAAGGAGGAAGGCAAGAAAAAGGGAAGAUAAAGUAAUAGACAACAAGUUUAUUUUAUUCUUUAGUUCGUUUCAAGUGGUUGAAUGAAAUAAAAUAAAUUGUGAAGGCUACUAUAUGACUUGGGUGUGUGUAUGUCUUUUCGAUAAGUUGGACCUGUGUGCAGUGUGUAUACAUACACGAAUUUGUUCUAAAAAGAAUUCUUUUUAGUUCGACUCGUAUCCCUCUCAUGACACAAAAUCUUACUUAUAUUGUUUAAGUAAACAAUCGAACUUUUAACAUGCAAUGUCAGUUUCUUUCAUAUUUAGUAUUAUUUCAUUAUGUUGAUUCUAUUCUAUAAAUUCAUUUUGCAUUGGAUUCUCAAAAAAUGACUGUCCAGCAGCUGAAAUUAAGCCCACCAAAGAGAUGUCAUUGACUUCAAGGAACUUAAGUUAGUUGAUCACAUUCUUGCUUCUCUGCAACGGAAGGUAAAUGUAACUUCUUAACAUCGGAACUUGUAUGGUCUGCAUGGAGAUUUCUUACCAAAGAUAUAUACGUUAAUCUUUUCCAGUCCAUUUAAAAGUAUAAGGUUGUCAAUUAUAAGCUAAGGAGCUUUAUUUGAGUUGUGAAGUAAUUAUCCCGGAAAAGUCUGAAAUCUUAUUUGCAAUCUUAGGCUUCAUUAAUGGGAAUAUUUGUGUUAAAAUUCAAUAGGUCAAGUUUAAAAAUAGAGAAUACUUCUUUCUAUAUGUGUAGCUACGACUAGUUCAAGAGCAGUACCCUUUGCAACCUCCUCAAGUGUUGUUCCUGACACAAAUAUGUCACAUAAAUAUUCAUUUUAAGGUAUCUUCAAAUUUUAUCUUUUUGUGUUGCUCUUUGGUUUUCUUAAUGAAAUUAAACUUUCAUUUAAGUUUGAUAUCAUGAAGUGCCAAAAGACACUAGUGAAUAUUGCUAUCCAUUUCAUGCUUUAUUAUUUGCUGCUCUUAGUCCUUUGAUAAAGCAAAAUUCUGUAACUGCUGCUGGUGUCUUUCGCUAUGGUAUAGCAAAAGACACAUUAACUCGGCCAUUGUAUUAUGGAAUUAGUAUUCUCACAAAAUAAUCAAUUUCGCUAUGGAAUUAGUAUUAUGGAAUUAGGUUUCCAUCAGGGUUUUUUUUUUACCCUCUUAAGUCUUCUUCUUCUAAAACUUGCCAUUCCUAAUUUUUCAAGUAAAUAGCUUCCUCUUGCCACCAUUGGUAACUGUUGGUGAGUGUAGAAAUGCUGAAUUAUAUCCCAUUUGUGACUCCACUUUGAUAAAUCAUUGGCUUUGCUCAGUGUUAUCAAAGGCGCGCUUUAAGCGCGCUUAAGCCUUGAAGCGACGCUCAAAACGUGAUGAGCGCUUCGACUCGCUUUAUGUGCGCUUCAAUGUCGUCAUCAAGGUUCUAAGGCAAACGUUUACUUGCCAAUGAGCCUCGUAUGAAAAAGUGACACUAAAUAAUUGAUAUUUCACUUUAUCAUAAUUUUUUUUCAAUUUCUUUGGUCAUAUAUUUGUCAUUCAUGUUUAUAAUUAUUAGUCUUGGACGAAACAUAUAUAUUUGUAUUCUUUUCUCCCUUUGCGCAUUUUUUCAUUAAAGCCCACGCUUUAUUUGCGCUUUGCGCUUAAAGCCCUCACGGACGUUAGAGCUUUUUUGCGCUUUUCGCCUUUGAUAACACUGGCUUUGCUGUUAGCUUCCCUAUACAUAUACUUGCAUUGAAAAAAUUCGAGUUGCUUGACCUGCAGAUGAAUUUCCUGAAUGCACUGCUGCAAUUUUCAGUGGGGUUUUGCCUGUAGUGUAAGCCAUUUGGUCAUCAGCUCCGAGUCAACUUCCAGAAGGACCUUCAUGUAACCAUGUUGAGUGCACCAUUAGAGCCCCUGAAUUGCAGCUUGUAGUUCUACUUGGUUGUUAGUUCCUGUGCCAAGUGGUACUGCAAAGGCAUAAAUCAUCCUGCCCUGAGAAUCCCUCAAGAUACCUCCUCCAAUUUUUCCGGGGUUACCUAAGACAUUUCCAUCAGUAUUCAGUUUGUAGAUGUUGUUGGAAGGUUUACUUCACACAACUUUACUGAUUUUCAUCUCUUGACUACACCUCUCCACCAUAGUGAUCAGGUCCUCCAACUGUUAGGACAUUGCAGGUAUGGGAAAACAGUGUGUAGUAGAAGAGUAAGGUCUUGGUACACCAAAUAUUUAACCCUCUUGCUGCUCGACUGUUUGUUCCCAUAUUUUGCCGAGCACCUAUUCUUCCAUGUAUUCCAACAAAUACAGAUAGGAAGUGCCUGGAGAACAGUUUUAAGUACUUCAUUGUGAGCUUUCACAAACCACCAUCUCAUCAGAGUACUUUUGAGGGGAGUCUGGCUAUGUUGAUCCCUAAGUCUGCUGAAAAAUAUUGCCAUAUAUGAUUGGCAAGGUGACCUGAUACAAAGAUAUGGUCAAUGUUGUCCCAACCUUUUCUGAUACAGCAAAAGCACCAGCAAAUGCACCUGGCAGGUUCAACUCCAAAAGAAAUGAGUUUAUCAUUGGUAGGUAAUUUCCCUCUUAAAGCCCUCCACACCAAAAAGGAUAUUUUUUUUUGCCAAGGGUAAGUGUUGGACAUGGUCUUGCAGUUCUUCUUUCUGAUGAUCUCCCAUGCUGAAGCACAUGUGAACUUUCCACUAUCUGUAGGCUGCCAUACUGCUUCAUCUUGUAAACUUUCUUGAAAAUGAAACUGAGUGCUCAAGAUUUUAGGAAUCAAGGAAGGUCAUAACUAAUUAAGUUUGGGAUUAGUUGUUUACUAUAUGUUGUAAUUUGUAUUAGUUAAAAUAUUUUAUGCCAUUAUAGUACUGAAUGUAGGAAGCAUGUUCUUUACAUUACAACUCAUGAGUUUAUGUUAUUAGUAAUAAUGUGGAAUACAAUUAAAAAUUUGGCAUGUCCUAGUUUAGUGUUUGUACAUGUAAAGGCUAAUCCUUUAUUUGGAUUGGAAAUAUAAAUUAUCUAUGCUCCAAUGUGCAGUUUUUCUUAUUUACCCUGAAUAGAGAAAACUAGAUCAUGUAUUUCUAGAUAGACUGAGAAAACUCGAUCAUGUAUUUUCAGAUGGAUUGAGAAAAAUCUCACUAUCUAGGAAUAUAUGUCCUUUUAAAAUGAUUAACACAUCUAUGCAUAUGUAUGUGUCUUUUGCUCUCUUUAUAGGUGUUAGAACUAAAAUUUCAAAAGAGACAGGGACAGGCUGAAUGAAGUUGCUUUGUGAUGAAGUGUAUGUAUUCUUAGCUAAACUUUGCUUCACAAUAUUUGCAUUUGUUAUUUUGCAGAUGGCGAGAUCUGAAUAGGAGACCAGGAAAUUAAAAUUUGUAGAGCUGAUGAAUAAGCACUUCGCUUCAAGUGUAGUUCCUAAAGGUAUUUACUAUCUUUUGCUAUGGUUUAUCGAUGAUUAUUCCUCUGAUGCUCAUACACGCAGCCAGUUGUCGCCGCCAGAACUACGUCCUCUGCUUUCUGAGAACUUGUUGCACCAUAUCUGAUUGUCAACUGAAAACAUCCUAGCUACUUUAUAGUGGUAAAUUCUGUCGUGCAAUCAUUUCUAAAUCUUGAAAAAAAUUGUUUUCCACGACUUGAAUGACUACAAAAAAUUGUUUUCCAUGUCUUUGAUCGUUAUUCUAGUAUUCUUCCUGUUGGUUGUAUUUCAAUGUCUCAAUCAUUUAAUUCACAUGAUGACAGUUCCAUGAGAUCUUUAAAUCGUAACUACUCUUUAUCCUCUCUUUAAAGUUCAUAAAAGUUUUUGUUGCGUACACAGAUGAAAGUAUCAACUAUUCAUUAUGGUGUAAUUGACUUUGUUGUAGUAGAGAAGCUUGGCCUAGAAAAUACAAGUUCUCGCUCGGCUAUGUGGUUUUCUUCAGGUAACUCUUGACAAGCUUCCCUUAAUUUCUUUUUAUUUUGUUGGCUCAUGUAACCAGACUACAUCUUAUUUAUUGAUUUUUUUGGUUCACUAACCUGAUGAGAGUCUUUCUGGCUUAAGUUGCUUGUCUGAAUGUUAUCAUAGUGGCUUGCUUAAGUUUUGAUUGUUAGACCUUUGAACCUUACAAAUACGUUUGCAUUGUUUGCCAUUAAUAUAUGUAUGAUCUUCCACUAGUGAGAAUUUGUUGUACUCACAAAAUCUUAGAUUGAGAAGAUACAAAAUGAUGGAAAUUGCUGGUGCAUAAGGGCAGCAGGUUCUUUAGAAGCCUAGCAAGCCAAUCUCUCAUGCUUUUCUCAAGGUUAAAUUCUUAAGUCAAACCUAGAAGCUAUCAUUCAAAUGCAAAGCCAAGUGGAAGUCGCAGAAGAUAUAUAGUGUGAUCCUUAGGAAAAACACAUAUUUUCUCUAGUGAUAUAAUAGACUUUUGCGCCUAGAAGACUUACUGAGGCAAGGAUUGAUGACACAAAUGAUUGAUCUACUAACAACCCACUCAUGUCUGUCUAAUUUUACUGAUCAUUUGUACCAUCUUGCACACAAUUGAACAGUCUAAUACAAACCCCUUUUGGCAUUUAAAGAACCAUUUGAGGAUGAAAAAAGACAAAUAAAAGCAUGAUGAAUAGCCAUUUCUUUAGAAAAUGAACAUUAACCAAAGCUUGCUAGCUUAUUUCCAUAUUUCUUUUUUCAUAAAACAACUACCGCAAACAUAUUGAGAAGUUUGCAGUUAAUUUUAAUGCAAAAAGUCUGCUAGCUUAUUUACUACUUACUAGCUAAUAUUAACAUUAUGUCUAGUCCAUGGUUUCCAAAUAAUAGAGUAUUUAUUUGGUACACACAUUGCUUAAGAACUAAAAUCAAAGUUUUUGUAUAGAUCUUGUGUUCAGGAUAAACUCGAAGAUUAGUCACUGUGGUUGUACCAUUAUAAAAUCUAUUUCAGUUUGGAAUUAGUCAAUAUGCUAGUAUCUUAGGUGUUUGUUGGUGGUUAUCAUGAUUCCCUUUGAAAGCUGUUAUUUUUUUCGAGAUAGAAGCACACUCUUACCACAAUAUUACGAGUGAUCAUAGUUUGAUUUCUAUCUGAUUAUUAAAUUAAUGUCUUUUUAUCUGUAGGAGAAUGGUGAUGCAAUUGACGAUGGUGGCAGAAAGUUAAUUUGAUCUAUUAAUGCGCAUGAUGAAGACUUUUGAAUAAUUAGGAUGUCUAUUAAUUUUAAAGUUCAUUGUUAGUGGGAAUUUUGAUACAUAUAUUUUAUUAGUAUGUUUAGUACAGGACCAAGUGAAGUCAAAUUGCAAGUAUAUAUAAAUUUGAUUUAUUUUUUUGAUAUUUAUUACUUUAGUUUUUGAUAUCAUCAAAA